GAUGAACGCUAGCGGGAGGCCUAGCACAUGCAAGCCGAGCGGUAUUGUUUCUUCGGAAAUGAGAGAGCGGCGUACGGGUGCGUAACACGUGUGCAACCUGCCUUUAUCUGGGGGAUAGCCUUUCGAAAGGAAGAUUAAUACUCCAUAAUAUAUUGAACGGCAUCGUUUAAUAUUGAAAGCUCCGGCGGAUAGAGAUGGGCACGCGCAAGAUUAGCUAGUUGGUGAGGUAACGGCUCACCAAGGCGAUGAUCUUUAGGGGGCCUGAGAGGGUGAUCCCCCACACUGGUACUGAGACACGGACCAGACUCCUACGGGAGGCAGCAGUGAGGAAUAUUGGUCAAUGGGUGCAAGCCUGAACCAGCCAUCCCGCGUGAAGGACGACUGCCCUAUGGGUUGUAAACUUCUUUUGUAUAGGGAUAAACCUACCCUCGAGAGGGUAGCUGAAGGUACUAUACGAAUAAGCACCGGCUAACUCCGUG
rnacentral:rRNA from 1 species